UGGGGAAUAUUGGACAAUGGGGGCAACCCUGAUCCAGCCAUGCCGCGUGUGUGAAGAAGGCCUUUUGGUUGUAAAGCACUUUAAGCAGUGAAGAAGACUCCAUGGUUAAUACCCAUGGACGAUGACAUUAGCUGCAGAAUAAGCACCGGCUAACUCUGUGCCAGCAGCCGCGGUAAUACAGAGGGUGCAAGCGUUAAUCGGAAUUACUGGGCGUAAAGCGAGCGUAGGUGGCUUGAAAAGUCAGAUGUGAAAGCCCCGGGCUUAACCUGGGAACGGCAUCUGAUACUGUUAGGCUAGAGUAGGUGAGAGGAAGGUAGAAUUCCAGGUGUAGCGGUGAAAUGCGUAGAGAUCUGGAGGAAUACCGAUGGCGAAGGCAGCCUUCUGGCAUCAUACUGACACUGAGGUUCGAAAGCGUGGGUAGCAAACA
rnacentral:rRNA from 1 species